rnacentral:rRNA from 1 species
GACGAACGCUGGCGGCGUGCUUAACACAUGCAAGUCGAACGGAAAGGCCCUGCUUUUGUGGGGUGCUCGAGUGGCGAACGGGUGAGUAACACGUGAGUAACCUGCCCUUGACUUUGGGAUAACUUCAGGAAACUGGGGCUAAUACCGGAUAGGAGCUCCUGCUGCAUGGUGGGGGUUGGAAAGUUUCGGCGGUUGGGGAUGGACUCGCGGCUUAUCAGCUCGUUGGUGGGGUAGUGGCUUACCAAGGCUUUGACGGGUAGCCGGCCUGAGAGGGUGACCGGCCACAAUGGGACUGAGAUACGGCCCAGACGCCUACGGGAGGCAGCAGUGGGGAAUAUUGCACAAUGGGCGGAAGCCUGAUGCAGCAACGCCGCGUGCGGGAUGACGGCCUUCGGGUUGUAAACCGCUUUCGCCUGUGACGAAGCGUGAGUGACGGUAAUGGGUAAAGAAGCACCGGCUAACUACGUG